ACUUGGGUGCUGCAUUUGAAACUGGAUAUCUAGAGUGCAGGAGAGGUAAGUGGAAUUCCUAGUGUAGCGGUGAAAUGCGUAGAGAUUAGGAAGAACACCAGUGGCGAAGGCGACUUACUGGACUGUAACUGACACUGAGGCAUGAAAGCGUGGGUAGCAAACAGGAUUAGAUACCCUGGUAGUCCACGCCGUAAACGAUGAGUACUAGGUGUAGGAGGUAUCGACUCCUUCUGUGCCGCAGUUAACACAAUAAGUACUCCGCCUGGGAAGUACGAUCGCAAGAUUAAAACUCAAAGGAAUUGACGGGGGCCCGCACAAGCAGCGGAGCAUGUGGUUUAAUUCGAAGCAACGCGAAGAACCUUACCUGGACUUGACAUCCCCUGAAUAGUGCAGAGAUGCAUGAAGCCUUUCGGG
rnacentral:rRNA from 1 species